UACGUAGGGUGCGAGCGUUAAUCGGAAUUACUGGGCGUAAAGUGUGCGCAGGUGGCCGCGCAAGUCGAGUGUGAAAUCCCCGGGCUUAACUUGGGAAUUGCGCUCGAAACUACGUGGCUCGAGUAUGGCAGAGGAAGGUGGAAUUCCGACGUGUAGCGGUGAAAUGCGGUAGAGGAUGUGGAGGAACACCGAUGGCGAAGG
rnacentral:rRNA from 1 species